GACGUAGGGUGCGAGCGUUGUCCGGAUUUAUUGGGCGUAAAGAGCUCGUAGGCGGUUUGUCGCGUCUGCUGUGAAAACCCGAGGCUCAACCUCGGGCCUGCAGUGGGUACGGGCAGACUAGAGUGCGGUAGGGGAGAUUGGAAUUCCUGGUGUAGCGGUGGAAUGCGCAGAUAUCAGGAGGAACACCGAUGGCGAAGGCAGAUCUCUGGGCCGUAACUGACGCUGAGGAGCGAAAGCGUGGGGAGCGAACAGG
rnacentral:rRNA from 1 species